rnacentral:rRNA from 1 species
GACGAACGCUGGCGGCGUGCUUAACACAUGCAAGUCGAACGGAAAGGCCCUGCUUUUGUGGGGUGCUCGAGUGGCGAACGGGUGAGUAACACGUGAGUAACCUGCCCUUGACUUUGGGAUAACUUCAGGAAACUGGGGCUAAUACCGGAUAGGAGCUCCUGCUGCAUGGUGGGGGUUGGAAAGUUUCGGCGGUUGGGGAUGGACUCGCGGCUUAUCAGCUUGUUGGUGGGGUAGUGGCUUACCAAGGCUUUGACGGGUAGCCGGCCUGAGAGGGUGACCGGCCACAUUGGGACUGAGAUACGGCCCAGACUCCUACGGGAGGCAGCAGUGGGGAAUAUUGCACAAUGGGCGGAAGCCUGAUGCAGCAACGCCGCGUGCGGGAUGAGGGCCUUCGGGUUGUAAACCGCUUUCGCCUGUGACGAAGCGGGAGUGACGGUAAUGGGUAAAGAAGCACCGGCUAACUACGUG